rnacentral:rRNA from 1 species
UGAACGCUGGCGGCAGGCCUAACACAUGCAAGUCGAGCGGAUGAAGGGAGCUUGCUCCUGGAUUCAGCGGCGGACGGGUGAGUAAUGCCUAGGAAUCUGCCUGGUAGUGGGGGAUAACGUCCGGAAACGGGCGCUAAUACCGCAUACGUCCUGAGGGAGAAAGUAGGGGAUCUUCGGACCUCACGCUAUCGGAUGAGCCUAGGUCGGAUUAGCUAGUUGGUGGGGUAAAGGCCUACCAAGGCGACGAUCCGUAACUGGUCUGAGAGGAUGAUCAGUCACACUGGAACUGAGACACGGUCCAGACUCCUACGGGAGGCAGCAGUGGGGAAUAUUGGACAAUGGGCGAAAGCCUGAUCCAGCCAUGCCGCGUGUGUGAAGAAGGUCUUCGGAUUGUAAAGCACUUUAAGUUGGGAGGAAGGGCAGUAAGUUAAUACCUUGCUGUUUUGACGUUACCAACAGAAUAAGCACCGGCUAACUUCGUG